rnacentral:rRNA from 1 species
UACAGAGGUGGCAAGCGUUGUUCGGAAUUACUGGGCGUAAAGGGCGCGUAGGCGGCCUUCUAAGUCAGACGUGAAAUCCCCCGGCUUAACCUGGGAACUGCGUCUGAUACUGGGAGGCUUGAGUAUGGGAGAGGGAUGUAGAAUUCCAGGUGUAGCGGUGAAAUGCGUAGAUAUCUGGAGGAAUACCGGUGGCGAAGGCGGCAUCCUGGACCAUAACUGACGCUGAGGCGCGAAAGCUAGGGGAGCAAACAGG